GGCUCUGGAUGUUUUCCCUUUCCUUGGAAAGAAACAAAUGAAAAUAACAAUCCUGAAGCAAUACUGGAGGCACCUGCUUCCAGAUAACUCUGCUGAAAGCAGCAAGGUACAACCAGGCACACCAGGGAAAUGAGGAAAAUAUCCUGGGAAGUGCCACCCUGACAGAGAGUUUCCCUGUGACUGCAGUUCCUGCUCCUGAGACGUGGCAAGGGGAUGAAUACAAGCUCCCCAGACAAUCCUGAUGUGAAGAUGUCCUGAGAGGCAUGAAGAGCCACCCGGUCUCCAGGGUGGGUGCUGCUCCCCAGAACCGAGUCUGCUCGUCCAGCACCUACAGCAGUGUCCGGGAGUUCCACGGGGCAGAGAAGUCCUGUGCUGUGGUGGCUCAUACAGUACACGCCAAAUCACAGCCCUCGCUUGAGCCUUCCCCCUCCGCCCUCCUUUCCCAUUGAUGUUUGUAGAUAAAGUACCCGUUCACGCACA